GACAGAGGUGGCAAGCGUUGUUCGGAAUUACUGGGCUUAAAGGGCGCGUAGGCGGUGAUAUAAGUCUGAGGUGGAAUCCUGCAGCUUAACUGUGGGACUGCCUUGGAAACUGUGUUACUUGAGUCGAGCAGGGGAAGGCGGAAUUCCAGGUGUAGCGGUGAAAUGCGUAGAUAUCUGGAGGAAGGCCUGUGGUGAAGACGGCCUUCUGGGCUUUGACUGACGCUGAGGCGCGAAAGCGUGGGGAG
rnacentral:rRNA from 1 species